rnacentral:rRNA from 1 species
UUAUACGACCGUACCGCAAACCGACACUGGUGCGCGAGAUGAGUAUUCUAAGGCGCUUGAGAGAACUCAGGAGAAGGAACUCGGCAAAUUGACACCGUAACUUCGGAAGAAGGUGUGCCCUAUUAGUGUGUAGUGAACAACGAAGCAUGAAUGGGUUGCAAAAAAUCGGUGGCUGCGACUGUUUAUUAAAAACACAGCACUCUGCAAACACGAAAGUGGACGUAUAGGGUGUGACGCCUGCCCGGUGCUGGAAGAUUAAAUGAUGGGGUGCAAGCUCUUGAUUGAAGUCCCAGUAAACGGCGGCCGUAACGAUAACGGUCCUAAGGUAGCGAAAUUCCUUGUCGGGUAAGUUCCGACCUGCACGAAUGGCGUAACGAUGGCCACACUGUCUCCUCCUGAGACUCAGCGAAGUUGAAAUGUUUGUGAUGAUGCAAUCUCCCCGCGGAAAGACGGAAAGACCCCAUGAACCUUUACUGUAGCUUUGUAUUGGACUUUGAACAGAUCUGUGUAGGAUAGGUGGGAGGCUUUGAAGCAGGGUCGCUAGAUCUUGUGGAGCCAACGUUGAAAUACCACCCUGGUGUGUUUGAGGUUCUAACCUAGGUCCAUUAUCUGGAUCGGGGACAGUGCAUGGUAGGCAGUUUGACUGGGGCGGUCUCCUCCCAAAGCGUAACGGAGGAGUUCGAAGGUACGCUAGUUACGGUCGGACAUCGUGACGAUAGUGCAAUGGCAUAAGCGUGCUUAACUGCGAGACUGACAAGUCGAGCAGAUGCGAAAGCAGGACAUAGUGAUCCGGUGGUUCUGUAUGGAAGGGCCAUCGCUCAACGGAUAAAAGGUACUCUGGGGAUAACAGGCUGAUACCGCCCAAGAGUUCAUAUCGACGGCGGUGUUUGGCACCUCGAUGUCGGCUCAUCUCAUCCUGGGGCUGUAGCCGGUCCCAAGGGUAUGGCUGUUCGCCAUUUAAAGAGGUACGUGAGCUGGGUUUAAAACGUCGUGAGACAGUUUGGUCCCUAUCUUCCGUGGGCGCUGCAGAUUUGAGGAAGCCUGCUCCUAGUACGAGAGGGCCGGAGUGGACACACCUCUGGUGUAUCGGUUGUCACGCCAGUGGCAUUGCCGAGUAGCUAAGUGUGGAAGAGAUAACCGCUGAAAGCAUCUAAGCGGGAAACUCGUUUCAAGAUGAGAUCUGCCGGGGCCUUGAGCCCCCUAAAGAGUCGUUCAAGACCAGGACGUUGAUAGGUCAGGUGUGGAAGUGA